ACGGAGGGUGCAAGCGUUAAUCGGAAUCACUGGGCGUAAAGCGCUCGUAGGCUGUUUGGUAAGUCAGACGUGAAAUCCCGCGGCUUAACCGCGGAACUGCGUUUGAUACUGCCAGACUUGAGUGUCGGAGAGGGUGGCGGAAUUCCGGGUGUAGCGGUGAAAUCCGUAGAUAUGCGGAGGAACACCAAUGGCGAAGGCAGCCUCCUGGACGACAACUGACGCUGAUGAGCGAAAGCGUGGGGAGCAAACAG
rnacentral:rRNA from 1 species